rnacentral:misc_RNA from 1 species
GAAAUGCGAUACGUAAUGCGAAUUGCAGAAUUCAGUGAAUCAUCAAGUUUUUGAACGCAACUUGCGCUUUCGGGAUAUGCCUGAAAGCAUGCCUUUUUGAGCGUCGGUUCAUUUAUCAUUUCAGUUUCCUUCUUGGUGACUGGAGAUUGGGCGUUGUUUUCUUUGUUUCAGAGAAAACUCGCUUGAAACGUGAAAGUGGUUUUAACUUCACCUUUUCAUAAGCUCCGUAAAAAGGGCGCGGAUAAUUUGUGUUUUCGAACACUAUCCAGUGUCCAAUUAAAUUUUUACGUGAAAACUUUGGAGAUGGUGACCCACCCAAUAAGCAGUUUUUGUGUGAAGAAUUUUUCAAUUCCCAUCCAAAAGCUUCAACUUAAACAACCAAUCAGACCUCAAAUAAGGC